CUGGUCUUGACAUGCUAGGAAUCCUGCAGAAAUGUGGGAGUGCCGCAAGGAACCUAGACACAGGUGCUGCAUGGCUGUCGUCAGCUCGUGUCGUGAGAUGUUGGGUUAAGUCCCGCAACGAGCGCAACCCUUGUCCUUAGUUGCCACCAUUUAGUUGGGCACUCUAAGGAGACCGCCGGUGACAAACCGGAGGAAGGUGGGGAUGACGUCAAGUCCUCAUGGCCCUUAUGACCAGGGCUACACACGUACUACAAUGGCCGAUACAGAGGGUUGCCAACCCGCAAGGGGGAGCUAAUCCCAGAAAGUCGGUCGUAGUCCGGAUCGG
rnacentral:rRNA from 1 species